rnacentral:piRNA from 1 species
UGGGAUUAAAGAGCCACCAUGCACAGGCU